rnacentral:lncRNA from 1 species
UAUGCAUUUUCUUUGUUUUGUGUAAAGAACCAUUAUGCAUCUCGAUGUACCUUGGCUGAUGUAUCCCCUAGCUUUCUUGUUUCUCUUCUGUAAUUUAAGUCUGGUGCUCGCUUUGAGACAUUACAAUCAGAUGCAGCAUUCUCUCUGGUGUCCGUGUCUGUUUUGUCAUCUGCCAACUCCUUGCUCACCUGACCGGUAUCCUGGUUCCCCACCGGUUGUACGACCGACUGAGUCUAUCUGUGGCAUGUAAGGAAGAUGAAGUUUACCUUAGUAAGGACUGACCAUGAAUCAAGAGUUUCUUACUUAUCAGUGGCUAUGAGGGUGCAAAUCUCAGAGCCUGUAAACAGUUCCUGCCUACUCUGUCCACUGCUGUCACCCCACUCUUUCUCCACUAUACUACACAAAGAAGCUCAGCAGGAUGUUCCACAGAUGAAGACGUCAUAGGAGCUGAGGCAGAUCACGAGAAGGUAGUCAGUUGUGCUAUUUGAACCACCUAGAACCUAGAUUCUUGUCAUCUCUGCCUCUCUAUCAUUUGACACUGAUAGGCCCACCUUCCCUCCCUCUGAAUCUAUUUCUCAGUUUGCAGCAUUUUCUUCAAAAGAAGACUUAGGAGAAAGCUCCAUCUGAACAACAGAAACGAGCAGGUUGUAGGAGCAGCUCUGGGCUCUAGAAGCCUCUUAGGAACCACACUCACUGGAACUAUAUAAAGUUUUCUCUGCCAUUGAACUCAGUACAGUCCCACAAUGCCUUCCCUCUCCUCAAAUGAGCUUCGUGGGCUCUACAUCUUUGAGCUGCGGAGUGGGAGUUCCUUAAAGGCAUUGUGAUUGAGAUUGUUCCUUUCCUGAAGCACAGUAGUGGCCAGAGCAGCCACUGAGCUCUGACUGGGGACUGGGCAAGAGAGCUGCUAUGGAUCCCACCACUGAACCACAGUGCAGAUGGGUGGCGGUGGAAUGGGACCAAGUAACAGAGGGAACACAGGUAUAAUUUGGCCAAAGAUGCCUUGUUUGUUUGUUUGUUUGUUGUUUAUUUGUUGUUUAGACAGGGUCUCACUAGGUAGCCUCAGUUAGAGCUCAUGAUAUGCUUGCUUCCACCUCUGAAAUACUGGGUACCCAUACAUUGCAGAUGUGUGCAGGGUGUGAAGAUCACACCCAGUCAAUAUGGCCAUCUCCAGUAAAGUGGCCUCACUUGCAUAUAUUUA